CUUUUUGCGGUUUGGGCUUUCUGGGGGUCCCCCCCGUGUCAGAAAGCCCUUACCCCAAAAAGCAC
rnacentral:pre_miRNA from 1 species